rnacentral:lncRNA from 1 species
AAGCUACUGUCACUGCACGCGAACACUCCGCUCUACUUGCUCCUCCGUUGGUUUUCAUCGGCGUACGAUCUCCGAUCUCCGACCUCCGACCUCCGACCUCCGACCACCGUAUAAAUCGCUUCAUAGAACUCCGGUUAAGAUAUAAAUUCUUAGUAAACAGUAAUUAGAAGUAACAAAAAUGGUGGAAUUCUCCAUGGCCAAUGCCCAAGCAUUUAUAGAUGAAGAUGAUGAACUGGAUG